rnacentral:rRNA from 1 species
CACGUAGGGGGCAAGCGUUGUCCGGAUUUAUUGGGCGUAAAGGGCUCGUAGGCGGCCAACUAAGUCAGACGUGAAAUCCCUCGGCUUAACCGGGGAACUGCGUCUGAUACUGGAUGGCUCGAGUUUGGGAGAGGGAUGCGGAAUUCCAGGUGUAGCGGUGAAAUGCGUAGAUAUCUGGAGGAACACCGGUGGCGAAGGCGGCAUCCUGGACCAACACUGACGCUGAUGAGCGAAAGCCAGGGGAGCAAACAGG